AAAAGGAUUUGUAGAUACUUAUGAAUACUUUUGUAUACAUAAUACAAAAAGAAUGCUCUGAAAUUAUAGGAAGUACAAGAAACGAGUGAAUCUGAAGUUUUCAUAAAAAAAAGUAAAUAAUUCAUAUGUUUCUAUGGGAACACUACUCACUGUGCAACAUUUCUCACUUCUGAAAGCGAAAAGUGCAACUUUGAAGAAACAUGCUACAUUCCUUUCUGUACAAGAAAAAUCAACACUGCUACCAUUAUCUAAGAGAGAGAUUGCUGAAAGGUAUGAUGAUGUCAUCUAUCCCAUCUAAGUAACUACUGAAUUGACAGUAUAAAAGCAGAGAGGAGCUGUCACUCA